rnacentral:lncRNA from 1 species
AGACAUGUACAGACUCUGGACGUGGCAGACUAUUUAUCAGGUCAGCUUUAUCAAAGAAAGUAUUGGCAGUUCCAGUGCAACAGAUUGUUAAAGACCAACAGCUAAUACAAGUAAACAUAUUUUACUUCUUGAACAUAUUGUAAAUUAGAUGUGUAAAAAAUAUGCUGGUAUUCUGCAAGUGGCAAUUUUAUAAGGAGCUAACUUUGCUAUAUUUAUUGGUAAACUAUAAGUUUCUUAAAUCCAAACUAUUAUAAGACUUCAUUCUGGUUUUUGUUUCUCAAAUAAAAGUUGUUCAAAUUUUACAUCCAAACAUGCAGGUUACUUUACCAGAUUUUUACAUAAUGUACAUACACCUGUCCUUAGUCAGGAACCUGAUGUUCAGUGGUUGUUGUUUGUUGAUGUGGUUCAUAAAUAUUUCUUGUUCCUUUUUUAUGCCCCACCUACGAUAGUAGAGGGGCAUUAUGUUUUCUGGUCUGUGCGUCCGUUCGUCCAUCCGUCCGUUCAUCAGUCCGUUCGUUCGUUCGUUCGUCCGUCUGUCCCGCUUCAGGUUAAAGUUUUUGGUCAAGGUAGUUUUUGAUGAAGUGAAGUCCAAUCAACCUGAACUUAGUACACAUGUCCUUAUGAAUGAUCUUCUAAUUUAAAGCAAAUAAACUUUGACCCAUUUCACGUCCAUGAACAUAGAAAAUAAAGUGCAUGUUUCAGGUUAAAGUUUUUGUCAAGAUUUUGAUGAAGUUGAAGCGAAUCACUUGAAACUUAUACUUUCCCUAUAUAUUAUCUUUCUAAUUUAAUGCCUAAUUAUAUUUUUUAUCCAAUUACGUCUUGACAUGAAAAUAUAGUGGAGUGGGCAUCCGUGUACUUUGGACACAUUCUUGUUUGAUAUAUAGGUUAGACCGUUGGUUUUCCCGUUUGAAUGGUUUUACACUAGUGAUUUUUUUGGAGCACUUUAAAGCUUGCUGUUCAAUGCUCUAUUUGAAGAUCGUACUUUGACCUAUAAUGGUUUACUUUUACAAAUAAUGACUUCGAUGGAGAUUUGUCUCCUUGGCACUCAUACCACAUCUUCUUAUAUCUAUAUAGCCUGUUUCAGUCAUACAGAUUAUGAAUCUGAGGGUCAUUACCUGCAAUGAUAAUUCUAUGAUUAAUUAUCUUUUUGAAAGAAAGUCAAACUUACAAUACAAUAAAUUUACAAAGAUUGUUACAAAGCAAAUAAUUUAAUCAAAAGUUUAUUUCAAUGCGAACAAUAACCUACAGAUGAAUCUUUUAAGUUACCAAAAAAGGGGGAGAAUCGCUUUGACAAGGUUUAACACCCAUUUCAUUUCAAGAGCCCAAAAUAACUACCCCAAAAAAACAGGAUGCCUAAAUAUGCUAAGAGUUCUAGUCUAUUGUAAGCAAAACCAAACUAGGCACUUGUAUGUACAUUUGAUGAGUGUUAAUUAUUUAAGGAAAAAUACUGUUUUUUUUAAGGAAGUAAUAUAAAGAGAAUAUCAUAUGGCUUUUUCAAUAUCGCAUCCGUAUCAACCCAGACCACUCCCAGGACUCCGAGAGAUCUGUGGUGGUAUAUGUGAUGUAUUUGAAAACAUAUCAAUACACUUAUUAUACAUAAUACCUCAGGGAGGUCUUUUUAGUAACAUUACGUCUACAGAAUAGUUUGACAUGACGUCAUACAGUUAGGGAUUGAAAAGCCUUGCAACAGGACUCCAAUCAUGAUGUACUCAUACAGAUAAAGUGAUAAAGCUUUUGCAACCGUGCUGAAUCGAUAUCAUCACGGUGGCUAUACAGCACGCUUGCCAAUGAUUGUAUUACACAUACCAAUUUAUCUGUAUUUACUACUAAAUAUAUAAUAAAUAAAAUUUAAUCAUUGGUAUAAUAACAAAGGUUAUGGUCAUAUUCAGUAAUUGGAUUUGUCUCCUUGGCACUCAUACCACAUCUUCUUAUAUCUAUAUAGCCUGUUUCAGUCAUACAGAUUUAUGAAUCUGAGGGUUCAUUACCUGCAAUGAUAAUUCUAUGAUUAAUUAUCUUUUUGAAAGAAAGUCAAACUGUAUUACAAUACAAAUAAAUUUAAUCAAAGAUUGUUACAAAGCAAAUAAUUUAAUCAAAAGUUUAUUUCAAUGCGAACAAUAACCUACAGAUGAAUCUUUUAAGUUACCAAAAAAGGGGGAGAAUCGCUUUGACACGUUUAACACCCAUUUCAUUUCAAGAGCCAAAAUAACUACCCCAAAAAACAGGAGCUAAAUAUGCUAGAGUUCUGUCUAUUGUAAGCAAAACCAAACUAGGCACUUGUAUGUACAUUGAUGAGUGUAAUUAUUAAGGAAAAAAUGUUUUUUUAAGGAAAGUAAUAUAAAAGAGAAUAUCAUUAUGGCUUUUCAAAUCGCAUCCGUAUCAACCCGAGACACCAAUAUAAUCCCAAGAGCUCUGCUCGAGGGAUAUAUUGGUUGAGGGUUAUAUGGUGUGUGAUAUGAAAACCAUAUCAUAUACACUUUAUAUAACAUAUACCUCAAGUGGAUGUUUUUUAUGUAACAUGACGUCAUACAGAUUAUAGGUUUGACAUGACGUCAUACAGUUUAGGGAUUUGAAAGCCUUUGCAACAGUGACUGCAAUCGAUGAUGUGACGUCAUACAGAUGAAAGGUGUGAUAAAGCUUUUGCAACCGUGCUGAUAUCGAUAUCAUCACGGGUGGCUGAUACAGCACGCUUGCCAAUGAUUGUAUUACACAUACAAUUUAUCUGUAUUUACUACUAAAUAUAUAAUAAAUUCAAUUUAAUCAUUGGUAUAAUAACAAAGGUUAUGGUCAUAUUCAGUAAUUUCUCAGAGGAGUUGGAAAGUCAGAGAUGAAAGAAUAUUUUGAAUAUUUUGAGGGAGCCAUGCCCACUGGAACUGUAAAUUGAUUUGAAAAUACAAAUAUUGUAAGCCCUCUGAAGAUAAAAUUUUGUUUUUGUUUAAUAACUUUUUAUUUUAAAGGAUGACAUUAUCAAUAUCGUUGGUACAUCAUCAAUAUCUGGGGCAGGUUUGAAACACAGAGCCUAUCAAUUUUGUUGGGUUGGGGAGAUUUAUACCCUUGGAAAUGGAAAUAAUUUUGAAAUUCAACAUUCAGCUUUCUCACUUCUGCAUUUCUCAGUGGAGAUUUUUUAAUUAUUAUAGCAGAUAAACUUAUGAUAGAUAUUAGAUUUUUAAUCAUCACAUAUAGUAACAAUUAUUAAUGAGAUUUUUUAUUUUUUUGCAGGAAUUCUACUAUUCAUAUAACACAGUAAUAGGAGAUGAAAUAUUAUCUGGUAAGUUUUGUGUACACUUUUUAUUUAAAUAAAAUAAAAAAAAUAUAAAAUAAUUCUGAAACUGAUUUGUAUGAUUUUUUUUUCAAUUUGACUUUAAAGUAUUAAAAGCUUAUUUAAUGUGGCAUUAUAAAUUAUCAUUCUGAGGAACCACUAUUGAGUUCACUAAAAAAAAUCUUGUUUAUUGCAUUAUAUUUUUUUUGAUUCAGUUGGAUCUAUGCGAACACUCCAGAUUUGAAGAAGAUGGUGCAAAAUUCUAAGUUGAAGACAUAUCAUGAAAAUAAUAUGUGUUUCUAUGAUUUGCAGAAACUUUAUAAACCAUUUAAAUCAUUAACUACAAACUUUGGGCAGUUCUUGUAUAGUAUUUUAGUUAUCUAUAGCACUAAGCCCCAAAUAUAUCCCAUACAAUCUAAUUUGAUGAAAACUGAGCAUUUUUUUUUUAAUUACCUUUGGAAAUUAACUUUGGAACAGAAGAUAAAUUUGUCUUUUUUUUGUCAGUUUUGGGUUGAUUUUCUUAAAAUUCAUGUAAAGCAUAAUACUUUGAUGGGGUUAUAAGUUCGUAUUUGACUAUAUUAUAUCAUAUUCUGUUCAUGAAAUUUACAAAACCAAAGUGUUAUGGGCAUUUAAAAAAAAAAUACACAUUUUUUUUUAUUAAAGAAAUUGCAAAUUUGCGGCUUUGUGACCAUUAUGAAAAAAUAAUUUGAAAAUUUGGUAUUGUUUGUAUCUUUAAAUUAUAUUUGUUCAGCAUCUACAUGUUACAGAAACUUUAAACCACGAAAAGAAGAACAUAUGUUAAUUAUUUUUAUUUAAUUUGAAAUCUUUACCUUGACUUGUUGAAAAAUUUAAUAAAUGGCCAUCUAAUCAUAUACGAAAUCUAGGUUGUAGUUUGAUAAAAGAUAUGAAAACAGGUUUAGACUAGAGGUGUUUGUUACACUUUAAAGAUGGCUAAAAUAUCAAGAAUCAAUACAUACUGCUGAAUAGAAGCAGGAAAAUAUUUUUUUUAUUAAAUUUUAUUGAAAUUUCUGCCUUUUUUGCAGAGUUGUCUCCCAUUUCAAUGCAAAUCUCCAUAGGAAUUUUAAAAUCAUGAUUUUUUAGUCUUCGUCAUGUUAUAUUAUGUUGGAACUUUUUCUGUGUAUAUUUGGGGUAUAAUGAUAAAAAUUAAAACUUAAAAAUCUUCUGCAGUUACUUUAAGGUUAGAUUUUAUGCUAGAUUGACUGGACUUUUGUGAUAAGGUGAGUUAAUGGGGAAACACUAGUGGUCGGUCAAUGAUAUUUGGUAUUCAGUUGUAUAAGCUUCCAUGGAGGUUAUUGUCUAUUGACUUUGGAAAUUUAGCUUAGUUUGCCCCAUCGUGGUUCCUGACUUUGAAACUUUUACAUAGUUUACAAGUUAAUGUGUGAUUUUAGUUUUGUUUAAAGGAAACCACUUAUAAUAAGUCAAUGAUAUUUGGUACGCAUUUGUAUUAGCAUUGGCACAUCUCCAUUAGCCAUGUAACUUCAGUCAUGGUGCAUUGACUUUGAAUAUUUGCAUAACUUACACGUUAAAGUAUUGCUAUUUUAAUUUCAACAUUUGCAUAAUCAAAAUUACAUAAUGUGAGACCUAUCUCUGUUUAUUAAUUAGUGUGAAAAUUGCAACAGGAUAGUGUUCACCAAAAAUUAAAAGUCACAUUUUUAAUUGAGAAAGCAUUUAUAUUUGUUGUAUGCAUUAUUUCUUGAAAUCAAAAUAAUAAAUGUCACCUUUUUAUCCAUUGUACAACGAUUACAAUGAUAAAUCUAUGCAAUAAUUUCUGAGUUUACAGUAGUUUUUCUAGAUCUGUUUCUUGGAGGAAAUAUAAUAGAAGACAAUAAUGAAUUAUAUAUUUGUAGAAAUUCUGAUAUCCCUCUUACUGGAGCUUUCAGAGGUCACAUUCCAUUUAAAGAUUCAUGUAAGUUCUUCAACUAUUUACAGAAAAUCAUGGGAGUGAUUUUACUAAAUCUCUAUACUUAAAACAUGAUUUAGCUAGAAAAAUAUGAAAUAGUGAGAAAGUUAAAAUUUCAUAUAUAUAUUUAAGAAUUGCAAGAAAUUCACUUAGCUAUGAGGAAAAGGAUACACUGUCAAAUUAAUAAUGCAUUGUAUAGGUAGUAAAUGAGAACAACAUUUCCCAAAGCAAAUGAAAAAAAUAUAUAUAAUGUUUUCAUCAAAAAUUUUCAAGCUUCACAGUAUUCAUGUUUGUUUAUGAUAAGCAUAUGUUGAGAAUUAUUUGAUUUUUUUUAUAUAUUUUCCAGAAUUCCAGUUUCUUGGACAAAACCUGGGAACUGCCUGUAAGUAGUUGGUUCAUUCUUUCUCUUAAUGUGAAAGAGACAUUUUCUUAAGGUUUAAAUAUAAAUUAAUAACAAUAUUAUGUAGGAAAAUAUGGGUUCAUUUUUUGUCUAUCCUUGAAGUGGUAAAAAAGUGAGAUUUAAGUAUGCUCCUUUCCGCAGAGAUUAUUUGGCUCUAAUCCUCAGUCAUGGUCUAUUGAUUUUGAAACAUAUUCAUAGUUUACAUGUUUCAAAAGUUUGUUAUUCUCAAAAUAUUGAAAGAUGUUAAAAUAAUAUUUGAAUUGAAGUUAUCUUCCUUAGUAUGUAUUUAUAGUUGAAUACAAUGCAAUGUUUAAUUUUCAGUUCCCUGCAAAAUGAAUGCAAUUUUUAUCAUUUAGUGUUCAUAAGCACCUAAUAUUAGAUGAUAGGCAGUCAACUUUUAUCUUUCACUUUAAAUUAUCUGCUAAAAGAUCUGUCAUCAGGAAUGGUUACCCAUUUUUUAAUGACAUCACAAUAGUCCGGCCGAUUGGUGCAGAUAUAGAGCAGAAUUGCUCACUUGAUGAGGAAAGCAUGAAACUUUGCAUAGUAGUUCUUGGUUAUAUACCCUUUGAUUUCAGCUAUGGACUCACUCUGAAAAAUCCAAUAUGGCUGCCAUUUUCAAGAUGGCGGAAAAACGGUUAUAAAUUCAAGAUUGUCCUAAAGGUAUUCUAUAUAAUUUCGGAAAUUAAAGUAAUGAUUCUUUAAAAAUGGACUUCAUGUUCUUGAAUUUGUUAUCAAUUAAUUCUAAAGUAUAAAACAAAUAAUGUGGGUAUUUCUAUAACACAUAAGUUUCAAAUAUGGCUGCAUAUACAAAAACAAAUAGUGAAAUUCAAAAUGUUAAUCAAUAUGUUACUUGUUAUUGUAAUUGUUCUUUAAACGCUUUCAGUUUUAAUGGUUGGAAUAGGUUGACACGAGUCGAUUGACGUUGAUAUAGGUUGGGUAAAUGUGGUGGAAUAGUAGGUUUUCAUCUGCCGUACCCACUACAUCGUCAAAUUAUUCUAUGUAAUCAAUAGGUGUACCUUUCUUCAGGCGGAUUAAAUGAUUGCAAUCAUUUAAAAUUUUUAAGGGCAACUAUUUCCUUUUCCAACUACGCGCGUAACCAAUUUGGAACAUUUCAGCGAGCAUGGUCCUAAAAUGCACUCCUGGUCAGCACUUUUAUUAGUUUUAAUGGUAACAGUCAUGUUUGAAUUUAGCGAACUGUGCAUGGUUCGUUUAUGCAAACUAGCUGAGUUAAAAUCUCGUUUCCACUAUUAACAAAUGGCGCAUUAUCACUUUAUUGUUGAUGGUAAUUGUGGGAGUACUCAGGUUUAUCACUGCGAUCAGUGUGUCUAAUAUAACUAGCCUAGGUGUAACAUCGUCUGUUAAUGGCUCUUUGCACACAUCCAAUUGUAUGUUUACUCUAUUAAUGUCGAGAGUCGUUCCUUAUAAUCUUCCCAAUAACAAGCUGUUAACCCAAACCAUGUAGCGUUACGUUCUCUAAAUCUCCAUUUUCUGCCGGAAUUAAUUUCUCAUUUACUAAUGUUAUCAUUGCAGCAGUGUCCACAAUCAUGCUCACAUUCUGGUCAUGUAUAGUACCUCGUACUACUAAGGUCUUUCAAAUAGCUCGUCUGAUGACAAUAUUGGACGAGGCAAGGCCUCUGUUUCGAUUUUUUGAUAAGGUGAUGUUUCAAUGGCCAAUAGACUUUGGAAUCUGAGUUGUCCUACUGGCCCGACCCUUUGUUCCAUUGUUGGGGUUACACUUUGAUUUGCUCCGUAUCCUGGUGAAGGUGACCGUUGUCUGAAAUAUUCGGGAUUUCUGGAAUUUGUCCGUGGAGAUGCUAACCGUUGUCUUUAGGGACUAUUAUGAUCUCUACCUUAGUGGGGUGUUGCUGAUCGAUAGGCAUUAAGCUUGGGUGUACUUCUAUCUGCAGAUUUACCACGAUUGUAUUGCUCAACAGAUCUUCCACGUUUAUAUUGAUCAGGUGAUUUUCCAUUGAACUGGUGAUCUUCCAUGAUUUUUUUAUCGGAAGAACCGAGAUUAUAUUGAUCGACCAAACCAAAGUUAUGCUGAUUAGUUGAAAACAUAACAUCAGCUAGUUUUGUGACAAUUUGUGUGAGGUUAUGCAACUCAUAAUCCAAAAGGACUGCUCAUAUUUUCUUUAUCGAUCGGUGAUACUGCGCCAUCAGCAAAGUAGACUUUUCGAUGGUCAUAAUUGGCACUUUUUUAUCCAUAUAUCGCCAUCUGUUUGCUUUUGAGGUUUUCAAUUGUUUUAACGCCUUGUUGAUUGUUCUGGGUUCCUCUCUAUUAUAUGCCUUGAAUAAUCUUUGUCUUUACAUCCUCGACGGAAUGUUUUGGUUCCAAUCUGGUUUGAUCUUUCUUGCUGAACCGCUGCUCCAAAUGAAUGCUUUUUUAGGCCUUGGAAUCAUCAUCUAUGUUUACCAUGCAAGCGUACUCAAAACCAACAUCGGCCUGGCAAUAUGGGGCCUACACACAUUUAUCCUAUUUUCCCAUUGUCAUCUACCGGCAGUUCGUUCAAUUUAGUAAAUGAACGCCUCCCAAAUGGUGGAUCCUCUUCAAUUGCGUUUUUGCAUUUUUGGCAGCUGUUGGUUUCGGCUCCGGUCCCUUGCAUAAAGAUUUUCUUGCCAUCGGGUAUAUUCUCUCUCCAGUUAGGAGUCUGAAGAAGAGGUGUUGCCACAUUCUUUUUGUUUCCUCUGCCCUUUCCUGGUCAAUGGAGUCAACUUGCUGUUAUGGGAAGAAUAUUAGAGCUCCAGAAGCGGACGAGGUUGUCAUAAUUGAAGUGAUAAAUGUGGGAUUUGCCAUUGACUCGACGGGGAUAAUACCGUAAGUAGGCGCUGUAUUCAGCAUUGGAGAAACUUGAUAGAAUCCACUUGCAGCCAAUUGUUUCUGUAAUGGUGUGCUGAUCUGAACUAAAUAUUAUUGACUCAUAGUAGAUGGUUAGUGUGCGUAAGAAGACACAUAAUCCUUUUGCUGGUAUCCUUGAUUAGUACUAGAGGUUUAUAGUAUGUUCUUAAAUGGAGAUUGUUGUUGAAUAAUUUGAACUGUCUCAUGUAGGGCCAAGGCCCUGAAAUAGGAAUUUUGACUUAAGGUGAAGGCACCUUCAACAGAGUUGGCCUGGUUUAUGUUUCAUGCAAACUACAAUUGAAGAAAGACCCACGGCAUGGAUUUUGUUUUGUACUUUUGGUAAACUUGCGUUGUACUCGCUAAGGUCAAAUUUUGGCUUAGAUGAUGUGUCCAUUGCAUUAACUUCUUUAUUUCGAUUGUCCACUGAUUCAUUUACCAACAGAUGCCAGUUGUUGGAAGGUACCCUGCUGUUCAAAUGCACUUUUAAAUAUAACUGUGUCUCCUUCCUCAGUUGUUGUCAGCUUGUCCAUUCGUCUCACCAUAACAUUGAAUAUCUUAUUGGUCUGACCAUCAAUUCCACCAAGCAAUUAUUACUAGCCUUGUGGUCUAUCCUGUCUUCAGACUACUGAAGUUGCUGAGAUAUUGCUUUCAUCUGUUCGUUAUUAAUAUUCAUUGCCUCUUUCUGUUCAGCUUGAAACGUAAUGAGACCAACACAUAUUUUAUAUAUUCGCACUUCGCUCUGUUUUAUAUUGCGGUAAAUCUCAGUUGUUCUUUGAGCAUUUUAUUUUCUAUCUGCUUAAUAUUCUUGGUACAAUUGUUUGAUAGUCAUUUCUGAGCUGUCCUCUGUUAAAGCGUCUUCAGUUGUGGAUUUCUCCAUAUCCCCAAGUGAUUCAGUUGCUGCCAUUUCCAUGUUCUUGUCCUUGUUGUCCUCAAUUCCUGCCAUUUCACUGAUAUGUGUUUAACUGAUUCUCAAUUUACAGUUUAAUGUCAAAAUAUUGCGACCCAAGAGAUAAGAUAGGCACUGAAUAAUAUCUUAAGACAGAUAAAUCCCAAAUCACAGCUUUUAUCAUACAUGUCAACCUCUGACAAUGGGAAAUCAUGUCAUGACAUGACAUGAUAUGUCAAAAAGCGUGUGAAAACGUGUGACGUAGAUGUGGACUUGUGGUAAUAUGAAUGUGGUAAUGUUCAUAAUUUCAUACAAAUUUGUGAAUAUAAAAAAACAAUAUAUAUUCUACUGUGAACUUUUAUUGUAUUAAACAGUGGUGUGUUAUUGUGCUUUUAAAGCACACCACUAGGCACAUAUUUCAAAACAACUGCCAGUUUCAAGUUUAGAUACAUUUAUUUGAUAACAGCACACAAUACAAAUGUAACAUAGUCAAGUUCAGUAAAGAAUUCAGUGUCAAUUUCUUUAUAAUUUAAAAGGCUCUCCCACAGUAGGAAUUGAUAUUUGACUGAAUUAGCUUCAUCAAUGUCAUAAUGGUUUUUUUUUGGCAAUGUAAAAUGUCAUCUAUUGUCUCUGCCAUUGCUCCAAUUGCUUGGUUAAAACUGGGUAGUUCAUCAGAAGAAAGCUGGUACUAUGAGAGCUGAUCCAACAGUUCUGUGAUAUUUUUAUCCCCAUGGCCUGUAGAAAUCUGUUGCCAAGUUGGCUAGAUUUGAAACUGAAAUUAAAAAAGAAAAAUGUUUUAUAAAUUUGAAUUCCAUUAGAUAAACAUGUUAAAUGCUUAUUCAAAUAGCUACAUUGUAUUUCUCCUCUCACACGUAUUGUUUUUUUUUUUUAUCAUUGCAACAUAGAAUGCACAAAUUAUGCGUUACUUGUCACUCGAUCAUUCAAACUCGAACUCCAAAAAUUAUAUAAUUCAUAAAUCUUGAAACUUGCCGUACACAUCGUUUUGGCUUAACAAUCGGCACUUUAGACGACGGUACAGGCCCUGCAAGUGACCUCUUUCUGUGCACAUUUCCCUAUAAAGUGAAUUUGAAAGAAAGUCACAAAAUCGUUAAAACUAAUCACAAACUACUUACCUUUUACUGUUUGUCCAUAUAGAAAAAUAAACAAUAUCCCAGCCAAACAAUUACUUCGAAUUUUUCGGUAUUUAUCGUCGAAUAAGGAAAAAAACCCGAGAAUAGCGAUAUCACUAACGACCAAAAAAUGAAAAGAACGAAAAAGCAUGUAAUUGCGUGUAAAGUGGUGAAAAGCGUGUACACGCCAUGUGACAAAAUCCUCGCGUGUAAACCGUUGAAAAAGCGUGUAUUACACGCGAAUAUCAUGUCACUUGACAUGUAUGGCUUUUAUGUGUGACCCAAGACAACAAAUAGUGCAGCUUUUAAUGAAAGCUACUACUGCAGCUUUUUAUGAAAGCUACUACUUUGUGAAUGAAAUGACAAGCAAGGCAAAAUCAGAAAGGACAGAACUGGGACAGAUACCAAAUGACGCUAUACAUCAAUAAAAUGCUUAUAUUCAGGUCAAUUCUCAAUAAUGAAUAUUUGCUUAUUUUUCAAGACGGCCAUUUUAAAAUAGCCGCCAUUUGUAUUUCAAAAAUAGAUCAAAACAAAAUCUUGCUAAGUACUCUAAGUCAUUCAAAUAUGUUGAUUUUUGUGCACCCAUCAUCAUAUCUACUGUGGUUUGUGCAAUACUGGAAAAUAUUUUAGAACGUACGGCAGCCAUCUUGAAAUAAGCCGCCAUAUUGAAUUUUGAGGGUGGGUCCAUAGCUAAUAUUGCUCAGUACACAAAAAUGUACCAUCAUGCAAAAAUUAGUGCUUUCCUCAUUAUUUGAGCAAUUUUUUCUCCGAUCGGCCGGACUACAAUAGCUAAAUCAGAGGAACACAAAUAAUGUUUACAAAUUAAAAACUGAUAUCAAGCAAACAACGUGCUAUAAAACAUAUCAACUGUUCAAGUAGUAUAAAUAGACUAAAAAUUGAGAAAUUGAUUUUGAAUAAUUUUGCAAUUUUCAAUAGACAAAAAAUAUCAUUAUUUCUGUCACAUAUUAUGUUUUCAUUAAUUUUUUCACAGAUUUAUAAAAACUUUGAAUUUGUACCAUGUGGAGAUCUUGGUUUGAAUGUACAGUAAGUAGAUUCUAUUGUAAGAUUGUAAAAAAGAAGAUAAGAUUGAUGUAUUAUUGCACCCCAACUUUAAGACUUGGCUGUAUUGUAUUCACCUUGUCUAUCUGUCCGUCAGCAAAUCAAAAACAUUUCUAACCAUUUUCUAAGAAACAACUUAACAGAAUGAGUUCAUUUUUGAUCAGCAUGAGAGACAUUUAAGCACUUUUCUGAUCUAUCAGACAGCUACUUUCUGUUUUACUGUUUAAACAAAGGUCAUCGGAUAAAAAAAAAUACAUUGGUACAUCAAAUAUUGAUGCAUCAGUGUCUUCAUAAAAAAUGAUAUAUACUCUGCAAGACUAUGAAAAAUGUAAAAAUUACAAGUUAAAAUUCUCAUUGAAACUCUGUGAAACAAUACUCUUAUAGUAGACAUAUUUAAGAUGUAACCAAUUUGAAAAAAGUCAACAAAAAAUAAAAGUUGCUGAUAAUGGAUAUCAUUGAUAAAAGAAGACUUUGUAUGCAUUAUUUCUUUUCCUUCAUUAGACAGGUUCAGGAAUAUUUCAUUGUCAAGUCAAUAAAACCUGGAAGUGUGGCAGAGGAAGAUGUAAGUCUCUUAGUAAUCAAAUAAAUAUUAGAUACAUGCCUGGCAAUGAGGAUUUAUGUGAAAAUGUCCUUAUCUAUUUGCCAAAGUACAGGUACAUGUAUGUAUUAAAAGAAGUAAAUAAAAACUUUAACCCCUCAUUGCAUUGAUGAAUUUAUGAAAUAAAUACAGGUCAAUCAGCAUGAUCUGGGAUAGAUUAUUGCAAAAAAUGAUAGGAAACUUAGUUUUGUUGCCAAAGUUUUAUGCCUCACCCAAUGUUGACCUAGUAUUAUGCAUAUGAUACUUUUAGCUCACCUGACCUGAAAGGUCAAGUGAGCUUUUCUCAUCACUUGGCGUCUGUCGUCCGGCGUCCGUCGUCCGUAAACUUUUACAAAAAUCUUCUCCUCUGAAACUACUGUCCCAAAUUUAACCAAACUUAGCCACAAUUAUCCUUGGUGUAUCUAGUUUAAAAAAUGUGUCCGAUGACCUGGCCAUCAAACCAAGAUGGCCGCCAUGGCUAAAAAUAGAACACAGGGGUAAAAUGUAUAUUUUGGCUUAUAUCUUUUAAACCAAAGCAUUUAGAGCAAAUCUGACAUAGGUUAAAUUGUUGAUCAGGUCAAGAUCUAUCUGCCCUGAAAUUUUCAGACGAAUCGGACAACCUGUUGUUGGGUUGCUGCCCCUGAAUUGGUAAUUUUAAGGAAAUUUUGCAAUUUUUGGUUAUUAUCUUGAAUACUAUUAUAGAUAGAGAUAAACUGUAAAAAGCAAUAAUGUUCAGCAAAAUAAGACCUACAAAUAAGUCAACAUACCAAAAUUGUCAGUCAAACCCUUAAGGAGUUAUUGCCCUUUAUAGUCAAUUUUAACAACUUUAUCGUCAUUUUUUGUUACUUGUACAAAAAUCUUCUUCUCUGAAACUACUGGGCCAAAUUUAAACUAACUUGGCCACAAUCAUAAUUGUGAUAUAUAGUUUAAAAAAUGUGUCCGAUGACCCCGCCUACCAAACAAAAUGGCCGACAUGGCUAAAAUUAGAACAUAGUGAAAAAAUGCAGUUUUUGCUUUAUAUCUUUGAAACUAUGACAUUUAGGGCAAAUUUGUCAAGAUUUAAAUGUCCAUCAGAAUAAGAUCUAUCCCCUCACAAAUUUUCAGAUGAAUCCUACAACCCGUUGUUGGGUUGCUGCCCUAAAAUUUGUAAUUUUAAGGAAAUUUUGCAGUUUUUGGUUAUUAUCUGGAAUACUAUUAUAGAUAGAGAUAAACUGCAAACAGCAAUAAUGUUCAACAAAGUAAGAUGUACAAAUAAGUCAACAUGACCAAAAUUGUCAGAAAACCCCUUUAGGAGUUAUUGUCCUUUAUAGUCAAUAUUGAACAACUUUUCGUCAUUUUUGUAACUUGUAAAAAAAUGUUCUUUUCUAAAACUAUGGGCCAAAUUGAACAAAACUUGGCCACAAUCAUUUCUAGGGUAUCUAUUUUAAAACAGUGUCUAAUGACCCCGCCUACCAACCAAGAUGGCCGACAUCAGUAAAUAAGGUAACAGGUGAGCGACACAGGCUCUUUAGAGCUUCUAGUUUGAUUUUCUAAUCUAAAAGUUGCCUUAUCAUAAUUUCUCCUUUACAUGCAAGUUGAAAGAAUGGUUUACAAAUAAAUUGAAUUGUCCUUUAACAUGGUUUUAUUGUAUUUUUAAAAAACUAAUUGUAAAAUGUUUAACUGAAGUUUUUCUUUGUUUUACAGGGAAAGAUAGGACCAGGGGAUGUUAUUGAUGAAUUAUAUAGCUUUGCUCUAACUCCACUUAGUCUUCCAAAUGUAAUAUAUCAUAUCUUUUAUAGUCAUGAAUUUCCAUUACACUUGUUGAAUCAGACGCUUGAACACAUUUUAUUCUGGAUAAAACAAAUUAAAAAAAGUCUUCUUUGAGGAUAUGUUAUACAUAAAAAUUACAUUAUAUGGGUAUCUGAGUCACUAUUAAAGUUGUCCAAAAUACUUGAAAUUAUAAUCUUAUUAUGGACCCUUUUCCAAUUUGUGUUUUCACUUACAUUUCCAAUGCCACAAUGCAUGUAUUAUGUAAGAGUAAGAGUUGAUUGAUCAAUGAAUUCAUUUACACAGAUUACCUUAUGUCAACUAGUAUAUCUCAUUUCAUAAAAACAAGAAGUUGAGAUUGAUGUAGUAUAACCAAACUUUACGAGUAUGUUAUAUUGUAAUCACCCUGUCUAUCUAGAUCUGAUAUAAUAGAAAGAACAUUCCUAUUGUACUUGAGGUCAAUAGCUCAAAUGUCAAGUUCAUAAAUUCUUAAAAUAGACCAAAUUUGUGCAGAAAAAUUAUUUCCAAAUUUUACUUGAUGUCUUUUCUAUUUCUGAAAAUUACUUACUAGAUAAAAUUAGCUUGACAUGGAUGCUGAACAUUACUAGUAUAUUUGAUAUGUUUAUACUUAAAUUUACUGAUAUCACAAACAGUUUCACUUUUUUUCAGGUACAUAAAUUAAUGGCAAAGCAUAAAGGUCUACCAGUAUAUGUUGGUGUCAUUAAGGUAAAUCUGCAAAGUGACUAAUGGUUCAAUAUUAACUGUGAAUUCUUUAUUAUUAAUGGGGUAUGAGUUUAAGUUCAAUAUAAGAAUAUAACAACAAUUUCAAGUAUUCAACGAAAUGCAAAUUUCAUAUCAAUGUGUAGGCAAAAUUUGUGAAAAUAAAAAUACAACCCACAAAAAAAGGUAAGAUUUUUUACGAUUUAACACAAAUGAAUCUAUAAUAAAUUUGAUGUCAUUUCAGUUAUUUUGGUCCUUCAAAAUUUGUUCAUAAUGCUUGACUUGGAAUGAUUUCGUAGAAGAAUUCAAUAUUGAAAGGUAGUGCAGGUAUUUUCUGAUGAAUUUGAAUAAUUUUUAGAUAAUUUUAUUUCAAUGAAAAUGCAUCGUAGUAAAUAGUUGAUAUAUUUUAGCUUUGUGACAGAGCGGGAAAGUAUUUUCCUCCUAUUGUCCGCUUACUGGAAGAGAUCAAUAUAAAUCCCAGAACUUUACAGAAGGAGAUAGUACCAGAUGAUAAGGAUAACAACAAUUCAGACAGGAAACCAGGACAUGCUAUUCUACCAGAGGAAGAGGAUGCAGAGAGACCUGUUCAUGCUCCUGAUGGAAGGUAACAGAUCAAAAUUAAACAUAUCAAUUUUGAUUAAUUUUUACCUGCAUUGCCAAAGGCACAAUCAUUGCACAAGGAAAUUUUUCAUUAAAGUUUUCUUGGCAUCAGUGAAAGGUAAUGGUCACUUUUGUUCCAGUAUACAUUUAACCUCAGUCAAUUGUAUGCAGUGAUGCAGGUCUAGACCUUGUAUUGAUCUUGUUAAAUUUAAACAGCUGAAGUUUUAUUAAAUAAUAGGUGAGUCAUUAAUGCAAUGAUUUUUCAUCCAGUACAUAUCUCGGGGAAAAAAUGUUUUGUGGCAUAUUAAUGAAUCACUUGGUCUUUCCAUCCAUAAAUUGUGUUAGUUCAUUUUUUUUACAUGUUUCUAUGGCAAAUCAUACUUUGUAAAAUAGCUUCCUGAUUUCCUGUUUGGUAAAUUUGUUGGCAAAAAGGGAGAGAUAAUAAUUCAAACAUCAAUAAUUGUCCUUUUUAUACCACCUGCAAACACCAUACCUAAAUAUUUCAUAUAAUCAGCUUUGAUUUGGAUUCAGUUUCACACAACUUACCACAAAAAGAAGAUUCCCCCUCCCCCUUUUUGUACAGUGAUGUUUCUUGUACUAGUACUGUUUAUGAAAUCUAUAUACUUAAUCUUCUAGAUGUAUGCUGACUGAUACUUUAGUCUGGGAGAAUUGUAAUUGGCUUUGACCUACCUUUCAGUAAUUUAUGAGUUGUCAUAUAUAUGUGUAGUGGUUCUAUUCUUUUUAUGUUAGUAGUUUUUUUUUAUGCUCCAUACUGAUAUUUACCAUUGGUUCUUAUCUUAUGCUGUUUAAAUAGAAAAGUAUUUUACAAUCCAUACUGGAAAAGUAAUGCCUUUAAUAUAUUUAGCAUUUCAAUUGGCAAAAAAAUAAAUAUGACAUACAUGAACCAGCAACCACUGGAAUUACAGACCCAUUACAGGCUCCUGACUUGGGAUAGGCAAAUAAAGAAUGUGGAGGGUUAAACAAAUUUGUAAGCAAGUAUUGACCAAGUCGUCAUGUGUAGAUAUUCAUAUUUUACCAUAAUUUGGAUUUGAAUUUUAUAGGAAUUAUUGAACUUUGAAGAAAUUUUCUAAAUGUAGUUUGUAUUAAAGGGAAAUUCCGCGAUUUUUUACUUAUCUAAUUAUGUUCAUCUUAACAUAAAAAACACAUUUGCAAAGUUUUAAAUUUAUAUUCCUUCUAAUAACGGAGAAAAUCAAGUAUUUGUAACUUUUUUGGUUGAAUUCUCGAGUGGGUCGUGACGUUUUAGCCCGAUGUGUUGAAUUCUGGGAAAAAAUAAAAUCUGUUUAACUCUUAUAGCAUAGAUGCCAACCAUUACGAUUUUUCCGUAGUUUUUCCGAUUUUGCGAUAAAAACUACGCUAUUACGGUCAAAGUCGAAUAGUUACGGAUUCCCAAUCAUCGACGUUCAAUUUUGUAAAACGCGGAUUUUUAUCAUUACUUUUCUGUCCUGGUCCAGUAUGUAGCGGGCAGGGGCUUGAAAUGCUUCGACCCAAGAGUUUUUUACUCAAAUUAUAUGAGUAGUUUGUAAAUAACAAAAUCAGUACGACAAGAUAUGAGCUGGUCAGUAUAAUAUAGGCAUUUGCUAAAAGUCACGUAAAUAAGUUUCUAUCUUUUAUUCAUUUCAAGAAUCAUAUAUUUUCAUUUAUAUUCAAGAUAAACAACAAUUUUAACUAGUAAUAUACUUAAACUAUAGACUUAAAUGAUAUGCCAAGAAUCUAUUCAGUAUGAUACAUGUACAAAGUUAUCUCUACACUCAAGAGAUAUUCAUUAACUUAUCUCUAAACUCAAGAGAUAUUUAUUAACUUAUCUCUACACUCAAGAGAUAAUAUGUUGGUGUGUCAGAAAAAUACAUAAAAAGGCUGAGUCCUGCUAUCUUAAUAAUAAAAUAAAUUACCCUAAGAGAAAAUCCUAACUUGAAGUGAAUUUAGUCAGAAGACCUCUUUCUGACAUAUUGGUAUAUAGUUGUAACUGAUACCUCACCAGUUACAUAAAAAAAUGUUUAUUAUUAUUAGUUAUAUAUUCAGAGCCUUUCCUGAAUAACUAACAAUGAAAUACAGUUUAUACCAUACAUAAACUGUAUUGUUUAUUAUAAUUUCCAGACCUUUAGGAAAUUAUCCCUUACUUGUCAAAUGUUUUCCUAUUUAAUACUAUUUAUUACAAAAUGACAAACGUUAACAGUAAAUAUAAACUUCAAGGAACAAUUUCAAUAAUCCUAACUUUAAAAGAUAAACUAGAAAUAAAACUUCAAAAAGUCCGUUAAAAUGAAAUAUUCCUUUUAAACUUUGAAAACGCUAACUUAACUAUUUUCCUUUACAAUUUAACCUUUUAAAAAAAAAUAAGUUUCUAAGAAAAAUAAACCAUUUUGACUAAAACAAAUAAAAUAAAUAACGAGCAAAUAAAAAUACCAACUGUAAGAACCAAAAGUUUAAGCAGAACUGACGACCAAGCGUCGAAAUUACGUCAAUGUUGGAUUGUUGGAUUGUUGGAAUGUUGGAAAGUUGGAUUGUUGGAUCGCGCGCUUGCCGUCCAACUAAAUAUUUGAAUUCUUAAAUAAAUUACAAAAAUCACAAUAAUAUACAAUUUUAGUAACCUUUAUAUAAUAAACAAAGUUUGCAUGGUACUAGAUAAAUUUCUAUAGUAACUAAAAAUACAACAAUAUAUACAGCGCCACCGGAAGUCGCAAUACGUAAACAACAUUGCAAAAAGUUAUGUGUGUCACCGGCGGACCAAAAUGAUAAAUAUCAAGGAUAGUGAGCAUUAACAUCUACAAAACAUUGAAGACGUUGAAUAUAACUACUAAAAGGAAUUACAAGAAGUAUGUGAAAACAGUUGUCAACACGUAAAAAUAGUGUUUUUAUUGAACAAUCGUCCCAAGUGACACAUGGGUUCUACUGCGCAUGUCAAUACAUUUCAUUCAUAAAUUCAAGCAAGGUGCGUGGAAUUUACUACAGUUGCUUAAAUUGGAUUAUCACAAAAAUACAAGACAUUUGGCUUCCAAAAUCAACAUAUAAUGACAGAUAGAUGUAAUCAUAGAAUGCAUAGAUUUUACAAUACAGAGAAGUUAUGAUUAUCGAUUUUUAAUCAACUGAAAGUUAAAAUUGGAUUCAACCAAGCAUGAUGACCGCAUGCCCUUAUUUGCAGACGACACCUAUUUGUGGAUUAUACAGUGGAUUAUUACUGUGAACUGGUAAAUUAUAACAUGAACUUCAAAUGGUUUAAUCAAAUAUACAAAUGACAUUCAAUUCAAUAUUUCUAGAAAACUCAUAACUGUUACAUUGUAAUGUUCUUACUAUACUUAUUAAAUGUUAAUUAAAACUUAUUUGCUUCAAUUAUCAUAUGUUCCAGACUACAAGUAUUACAAGUAGUAUAAUACAAGUUAUUUCACACAGUUACUGUUUCCUACAUAAUAACUUUCAUAAAAAAUACAGAAUAUUAAACAGUAUGCUUUAUCAAUACCAAUUUAAAACAUACAUUAAAAAUAUCAUACAUGUCUAUCACACGUCACAAUAAAAUACAUGUACCCUAGUCGUCGUACUCUACAAGUAUUUAGGAAACGCCAAUGUAAUGCUUCCGGUUUCUCGGGAGUUAUCAACCUAUUGUUGGGUAACUAACUGACUUCCGAAGAGGCAAACUUGCAUUUUAUUAAGUAGCUUUCCCCCUUUCUCUACUUCUCCUUGACAAAACAAAAAUGUUUGAGUCGAGAACAUCUGAACAAUUAAUGAAUGGAAUACAUACUACAGACAACAUGUUAAAUGACAAAUUUUAGUGUACAUCACUUUGCAACCACUCGUCAGUAAUUUUUAUUGGUAAAUGCACGUUUAUGAAUGAUUACUGAAAACUUUUCAAGAAUACGGAAAAUUUGAUAGUUUGUUACUGAUUGUGUCAAAAGGGGGUUGGCAUCUAUGUUAUAGCUUAUCGACAAUAUACGUAAUUUAAAGCGCACAGCUGACGAAUGGUCGUAGUUAUUAACCACAAUAUAAGAAUGAACGAAAAUGAAUAUGCAUAUACCGUUUUGUAUUGAUUGAAUUAAACUCCUAUAAAAUUAUCUCUAGUAAAUGUUUUCGAAUAAAUUUCAUUAAUUAUUGUUCAGAUUUUUUUCAUAAAAUAUUUAUUGAACAUUUUUACUGAUAUUGAACUGAAAAUAUUUCAGUUCUAUUUACCGUUAUUGUUUUGAUAAUCAUUUCAAUGCAACUAAUGUGUGAGCAGAGUGUGUAUAUUAUUUUGUAAAGGUCACUGUAUAUGUCUCGGCUUGAGGUCAAUUCGUUUACCUUGUAGCUAUUUAGCCGCAGGUGUGAGUUCAAGCAUACACAGGUAUGGAUGUUGUUAUUUGGAAAGGAAAACUUGACAGAAAGGAUUAUAAAGAGUAUGCUGUAUUUAAUACACUAAGAUUUAAUACCCGAUGAGAAUAAAGAUACAAUAAUUAAAUUGUGUAAAUUAAUUGAAAAUAAAAUUCAGAUUCGUAAUUCCGAAAGUGUAUAAAAAAUAAAAGGAAACAAUUUUUUAUUACUUUCUUAGCGGCAAUUGGCGUAAAGAUUCAAAUAUGAAGUAAAAAAAAUAGUAGUUUUAAUCUUUAAUAAAAACUAAAUGCAAUAUUACCCAAUUUGAUAUACCAUUGCACAUCUGUUUGAUAUCAUUGACUUUACCGGAAUUUCUUAGCUUGUAUUCAAAUCUGGCUGUGUUUAAAUGCUCAUAAAACUAUCGCAAUUUUAAAGUUUUUAAUUGAAAAAAAAAUACAACACAAAACAUGCAUGAUUUUUUUUUAGUUUCUUUUUCACAUUUCAUUCUUACAUAAUUAAAUUCAUUUGACAAUCAUUUACACGAACUUUUUGUGAAAAGAAUACCAAUUAUCUAAGCUAAGGCAUUAUUUUUUUUUUGAGGAUUUUUGUACAUUUUUUUUUUUAAUUCAAUUUCUAUGAUAAUAUUUGUGCAAUGUUGAACAUGAUAGCCGUCAUUAAUCCAAAUAAGUAAUACAGUAGUUGUAAUAAAACUUAUAUUUUAGUCAUGCAUAACUGAUAUUGACGAAUUAAGAAUAGUUCGUCCAUACAUCGUUGUUCUUGAAACAAUCAUUAUUAGUAUACAUGUAAGUUUCCUGACGUAUAAACGCCAUUGAGGAUGAGCUCCAGAGAAAGCAGACUAGUAGCGUUCGUUAGUUUGUUUGUUGGGAAAGGAGAGGAAAUGCAACCACUUGUACAGAUAAACGAACAGAAUUACCAUACAAGCAUUUAUAGUCAACACAACCAGAAAGAGUUCCCAUCGUUGGACGGGGAAUAUGAAGGCUUCCAAGAAUGAACAAGUGACAUGUCUAACUCUGAACAGUUAGAAAAUGGACUAUCGACAUCGACCGCUUGUUCUUGAUAUUUGAAAUUGCAUGCAUAUAUACGUAUACGUUUAUGAUAGUGAUGAGUUCUUGCGUCUGACAAAAACUAAAUUCCUUCAUGGUUAUAUCUUGCCAUACAUUUAUAUUGGUUUGUAAGGUGAUUACUCAAAAUCGUUAUUAGUAUUUGAAAAUCCUGUUUGUGAGAUGUAGAUUCAUUUCAAUACAGAAAUUUCGUCUAUAUAUUAAGUUUCACAAGUGUAUAACACGGAGAAGCUCUGAAGGUACAUUACUCCCAUUUUGUUUGGUGUGAACCAUCGAUGUUUACAGCAAUAUCAAAGAAUAAGAUGAUGAUGGUAGAAAGAAUUAUGGGCGUCAUGUGGCAAAUAUUACAUGCAUAUCGGACCAUGAGUUGUCAAUCUGUAUGAAAAUCUUUCCAAUACAACCAUAUUAUUGAGAAGGAAUGUUUACAUGCUAUACUCUAGUACUAGUAUUACAGGGUUCUUGUGGCGUUCACCUUAGACACACAUCUUUUUAACGAUGUUUAAAAAAAAAAGACAGAACCAAUUUAAUGUCAUAUUUCCCUAUUUUUUAAAUAUAACUAAAAGUCUUUUAUCUGACAAGAAUACCCCUAUUUAGCGGACAAGUAAUUUAUUCUUUUUUCUGUUAUUGAAUACCAAGAAAGAACAUAAAUCCCGAAAUUAAUUUGAAACUUUGAUACUCAAUAGUUUCCUAGCAAAAUAUUCACAUCCCUUGGGAUAAUCAGUGUUCAUCCAGUGGCAUAUAUAACAAUUGUGAUGACGAAUUCCUUCCUUUGUUCGUGAACAAUCUUAUUGAAAUAUAAAUCUGUGAUUUUACUAUGUCCACAACUUCGAUGAACCAAAGCAAAUUAUACAUCGACCUGUAUUUAAAUCAAAUUGGUUCUCUUCUUCUUCUUCUUCUUCUUCUUCUGGUAUACAAUAGUCUAUCGACAUUCGAUGAUUACAUACUGUUGGCAUACGUGGACUAGUCUAUUUACAAAUCUUUACCCCAAUUUAUUCAAAAUAUAUGUUUUUUCUUAUGUUCAAUGUAUACAUGUAUAUAUUUUAAAUUGCACUAUAGUUCCGUAACUUUCUACCCAGUCGUAUAAACGAAUUGUCGACAAGUGCGUACAUUUUUUUAAAUCAAUAUUUCUGGUAUGUUCCAAUCUGUCCUUCACUAUUGACAAUGCGUAUAUAUUACAUUUUCCCAAAUUCACCCUUGGAAAAAAUAUUUAAAUAGAGUUUAAUUUCAUCAAAUCUUAUUUUUUGGGUAUUAUUUAUAUUUUUAUGAAUAAUAUUCUUUACACCAGAAAUGUUAUUUAUAAACAAGCGUAUGAGUUUAGUAAUGACAAGUAAGACAGAGUUGUAUAUUAUACAUCUGAUAGUUCAAAAUGGAAAGUUAUAAGUUAUAUAGAUCAAUACCUGCAGAAGUGAAACGAUGCAUGAACUUGCAAGCCCGACAGGAAAUCGCUUGAAUACCUGGACAUGUCACCUCACACCCCUAACAAUACCUUUGGAAGUAAUACCUUUAGCCAUGCUGGUGAUCAGAGGAGGGAAGAUCAGAGUUUAUUUGAAAAAAGUUUACUACUUUAAAGAAUUAUGAACAAAUUAGAUUUUCGAAAACAAUUUUCACAGAACACUUAUUUAUGAUUUCAACUUUGACUUUUUACCUAAUUCCAAUAUCAACAGUUUAAAAACAACAGACCAUGGCAAUUUAAAAAAAUAAGAAUAUUUUCCGUAUCAAGUUAGUUAGUCGGAUAAAACAACCGUACGAUUGACAAGAUAUUGACACGCAAUUACGACUACAUCGGUUACUGUAGUUUUGUUCCUUUGUGGUUUAUAGACAUAUCGUUGUUAUUAAUCGGGAAAGAAGACAAAAUGCCGAACGCAGAGAAUUGAUACUCUAAAUUUAAAAUCGAUGGUGAUCGCUUAUCUAGCGGAAUAAAACUUUAAUAUCUAUGAAUUUGAGCAUUUUUAUACAGAAUGAACAUAAUAUCAAUUUUUGAUUUUUUUGCGAAGUUUCCCUUUUGAAUUAUUGACAGAUUGUUUUCUUUUCUUUUUCAGUGCAUUAUAUAAAGCAACAUACCUUGGCAAUGUAGAUCUUGGACCAGUAAGUUUUUGUCAGUUGAAAUGAUUUUUUUUAUCUUGUGCAAUAUAAGGGCAUACAAUACAGGGGAGAUAAUAACAUCACUAAAUUCGGUGCUUUGAUUUUGUGCCAAUUGGCAUUUCAUUUGCGCCAAAAAAAUCUUUCAUUUGUGCCACAAACCAUAUUUCAUUUGCGUCAAAAAAUAGAACCAUUCAUUUGCGCCAAUAAUACAGGUAGAUAAAAAAAAAACUAUUUCUUUUUCAAAAAAGAAUUUUAAUGAUAAAAAAACAAUUUUGUUUGCAUGAUAAAACAUAUUCCUCAGAAAUCAGUCAUUCAUAAAACCAUACAAGGUAUGUUUAAACUUCGUUAGAGCAUAAUUCUGUUAUUUUGAACAUAUUUAUAAAGGAGUAAAAUUGUGAGACAGUUCUAAGCAUUAUUCACUUAAGUUAUGUUUUCUGUCCAUAUCAGUUGUUAUUCAGGUUUUGCAAGUUUUAUGCUGCACCUAAGUACGAUUUUUAAUAUGAUGCAUUUGAUAAGCUAUAUACCGUAUGUGUGAUCAUAAAAAAAAUAGACUUUUUUCCUCUGUUUGUUUCUGAACAGAGAAAUCAGUAUGAUCCAAUGGUUUUCCCGUUUGAAUGGUUUUACAAUAGUUAUUUUUGGGGCCCUUUAUGCCUUCAUAGCUUGCUGUUUGGUGUGAGUCAAUGCUCCGUGUUGAAGACCGUACAUUAACCUAAUAUGGUUUACUUUUAUAAAUUGUGACUUGGAUGGAGAGUUGUCUCAUUGGCACUCAUACCACAUCUUUUUAUAUAUAUUAUGAACAAUUAUUCAGGAGAUAUAAUGUAGAAACAAAUCUUAUUCAUGAUACAGCAAUGAAUAUUUAACUUUUUUGUUACCUGUAUUACCUGUGAAAUGACGCAAAUGAAGUUUUUAUUUUAUGGCGCAAAUGAAAUAUAACCUUGUGGCGCAAAUGAAAGAUUGGAUUUUGUAAAAAUUGGCGCAAAUGCAAUGCGCCCACUAAAUUGAUAUGUUAUUUUUUUGGAGAUGUCAAACUAAUUAAUCGCUUGGAAACAAUGGCAUUGAUCCCUAUCUUUUUAAAUGAUAUUUGGCAUGAUUACAUAUGAAGAUCAUGUAUACCAAUUUUUAUGAACAAAUCACUGAUAGAUAUUUUUUAAAAUAAGAUAAACAUACCACAAAUAAAUGCUGUUUUUUUUAUACGCCCGUCAAAAUUUUGACGGGACGUAUUAUGGUAUACAAAUGUCCGGUGUCCGUCCGUCUGUCUGUCUGUCCGUCUGUCUGUCCGGCGUAAACAUGUCGCACCGUAACUUGAGAACGACUUAUCCAAAUUUCAUGAAACUUAAUAUAGUUGUUUCUUAUAAUGGUCAAAUGAUCUGUAUACUUUUUGGUGAAAAUAAGAUUUAAACUUUUUGAGUUACGGCACUUUGUAACUAAAACAGUGGUAUGUUUUUUUUCACAUGUCGCACCGUAUCUCAAAAACCAUUCUUGAUUAUUGCUUAAAACUUUACACACUUCUUAGUUAUAUUAAUCUUAAUAUCUGUAUACUUUUUGGUGAUGAUUAAAAAUUUCAUUUUUGAGUUAUUGAGUAUUUCGUAAAAAAGGGGGAGGGUUUUAUUUUACAUGUCGCGCUGUAUCUCAAAAACGAUUUAUGAUUAUUGCUUAAAACUUUACACACUUCUUUGUUAUAUUAAUCUUAAGAUCUGUAUACUUUUUGGUGAUGAUUCAAAAUUUCAUUUUUGAGUUAUUAGUAUUUUGUAAAAAAAGGGGGAGGGUUUUUUUUACAUUUCGUGUUGUAUCUUAAAAAUGAUUUAUGAUUAUUGCUAAAAAUUUUACACACUUCUUUGUUAUAUUAAUGUAAAGAUCUGUAUACUUUUUGGUGAUGACUCAAAAUUUAUUUUGAGUUAAUGAGUAUUUUGUAAAAAAGGGGAUGUUUUUUUUUUACAUGUCACGCAUUAUCUCAAAAACAAUUUAUGAUUAUUGUUUGAAACUUUACACACUUCUUUGUUAUAUUAAUCUAAAGAUCUAGAUACUUUUUGGUUUGAUUCAAAAUUUUAUUUUAGUGAUAUUUAGUUUUUUGUAAAAAAAAACAAAAAAACAGGGUGUCUCAAAAACAAUAAAUGGUUAUUGCUUAAAAUUUUCUCAGAAACUAUUUAUGAUUAUUGCAUAAAACUUCCACAUAAGACGUCGGGCGUAUCAUGCGCUCAUGGUGCAGCUGUUUAUUAUUUAAAAUUAUAAGUUAAUGAAAAUGAUUUUUUUUUGUUUUUUAUCUUUUGAGUAAAUGUCUAAUAUUUUGACCCAGUUUAUUUCUUAAAGUAAAACAUGGAGGUGUAUAUUUUAUUAUAUAUUUGAAUUGUCUGGGUGAAAAAUUGCUUGAACGUUGGUAAAAGCAUGACUGUGCAAUAAAAACUGUAUUGCAUGCCCUUAAUGGAUAAAAAAUAAUGUAAAAUGUUGUGUUCUAUUCUAAUUGUGACAAGUUUUAUGUUAAAUUAAAACAUCUCUAGUGCAACUGUAUUAAACAUAUAUGGUAGAAUAUGUGUAAAGUCAUAUGGUUUAUUAAGUUGUUGUUAUAUAAAUUCAAAUUCUUAUAUACAUGUAUGUGUAUGUAAAAGUGUUUUCUGUAUCUAAGAGAUUGACUGGUAUUAGGAAUAAUUCCUUGGUAUUAGAUUCUUUGAAUUGGUUUUCAAGACAAGCAAAAGUUCAAGCACAUAGAGUAAGAGCUAUGUUUCACUUUAGAAAUCCAUGCUGCUAGGAGAAAGGAAAGAUCAAGGGAAUAAAUUCACAGUUCUAUAAUAUAUGUAAUCAUAGAAAACUCAGAAAAUGACUGGUUUUAUUGACAAAAAUAAUAUCCUUACAGUUAGAUAUAUUUCUUCAGAAUCAUUUAUUUGUUUUGUUUCAAUUUUCAUAGAUUGAGCAAAAUUAGUAUUUUCAUUGGGUUUGUUGAAAUUUGUACUUCAUUGAACAUUUUGAAAAUUGUUGGUUUACCAUUACCUACAGAAUAAACUAAUAUCUCACAAGUAAUGAUGAAAGUUUAUUCUAAUUAUAGGAUGGCAGAGUAAACAGAAUAGAAGAUGGAGUAGAUUUAGUGCUUAGAAAUCACAAACAAGAAAUUGUAAAUAUACUUUUAUUGUUCACCAAUGAAUAACACAAUAGUUUUUAAUACUCCAUCCUGACUUUUUAGUUCAGCCAUUUGCAACAAUUUUUUUACCAUAUUUUGUCAUGAAAUUUUAUUGUGCUCUUCAGUUAAGCAUCUGAUAUCUCAUAUGUCAUGUGUACCAAUUUAAAACUUUUUUAAGGUAUUUUCAUUAUUUGCUCACUUUCAUAGUUGCUGCCAUUAUAGUCACAAGUUUUAUCUUAGUCAGUGACAGUUAUUUUUAUUUUUACUUUACUCAUGUCAGUACCUUAGCUGGUAUGCAGAGUACAAAUGGUGCAGAUGUUAGGUCUUUUAAACAGCCUUCAUCAAUGAUUGAAAUCUGUAGGGUAUUUUAAAUUUUCUAUAAACAGCUUAUUGAUGAUUUUAAAAUAGCCAUGAUUAAAUGCAUAUUGAUGAAAUGUAAGAAAGAGGUUUGUCUAAUUUAAACUGUUGUGUGGCAUAAAUUAUCAAAGAUCAAAUUGUAGAGCUUGUUAUUGCUUAUAUAGUCAAAGCUGUAUUUAGUGAUUAUACUGUGAAAAAGGUACAUUCAACAGAGGCCAGUAGUAUCAGAUAAUGGUAGACUUUAGCUUUUUGGUAUUUAAUGUUUACUAACGAUUAAAAUGUAAAUAUUUCAGGAAGUUUUGAUUGAUUUGAGGGAGAAGGAUGUCAUUGUAAGUGAUGCUACCAACAACAACAAGGUAGGGUUAAGCUUUCUCAUUUCUUUUAUAUAAGAAAACUGUUCCAUAAAAUUAAAUCUGUUCUAUAGCAUUUAUGGGCAAAGAUGCAUGAAAUGCAAUCAACACCCUAUGGUACUGACUUGAUAUCUAAAUCUUCCAGGGGUGAUCACUACCUUUUUGAUGCAUAAAGUAUAGUGCAUUGAUGAUAACAUUCUAUUCAUCCCAUGAACAAUUCAAGAAAUGUAUUGAUGUAAUAUAUGUAUGCUCAGAUAUUCAAGGCACAACAUGAUGUUACAAUUGUCAAGAAAAUUACAUAACUUUUGCAAGGUGCAGAUAUCUAAUAUCUGUUCUAAAAAAUAUAAAUGAUCUCAUUUGUAAAGUCAUCUUUAAAAAUCUUCCUUUGUUCAGAAUUGUUUUGAAUUAACUACAACCAGAGUUUUAUACAACAUAAUAUUCAAUUUUAUUUCCCGCUGAAAAAUUAGAGCAAUCUUUACCAUUCAGUGCUUUCAUACAAAACCCCAAAUAUACAUAGAAUAAAGUGCCAUCAAAUCUAACUUGAGGAAAACUUAAAAUCAUGAUUUUAAAAUUCCUGUAGAGGUUUGCAUUGAUAUGGGAGAUAACUCUCAAAAAAGGCAAAAAUAUCAAUAAAAAUUGAUUCAAAAUUAUAACUUUACCUCUUCUAUUCAACAGAAUGUAUUGGUUCUUGAUAUUUAAUUCAUCUUUAGAGUAUACCAAACAACUCUUAAGGUGUUUCAUAUCUUUUUCCAAGCUACAACCUAGAUUUCAUAAUUCAUUAGUUGACCAUUUAUUAAGUUGUUCAGCAUGUCAAGGUAAAGAAUCUCAAAUUGAAUAAAACUAAUAAAAAAUAUAUUCUUCUUUUUGUGGUUAUAAUUGCUUUAAACAAGGUAGAAGCUGAACAAAUAUAAUUUACAGAUAACAACAAUACCAAAUAUUCACAUUAUUUUUUUCAAAAAUGGUCACUAAGCCAUAAAUGUGCAAUUUCUUUAAUGAAAAAUGUGCCCAAAAAAAACAACAUAAUACUUCGGUUUUGUACAUUUCAUGAGCAGAAAAUUAAAUGAUAUAGUCAAAUACGAACUAAUAACCCCAUCAAAGUAUCAUAGUUUACAUGAAUAUUAAGAAAAUCAACCAUAAACUGACCCAAAAAAAAAGACUACUUUUUGUGGAGUUAAUUCCCUUUCCAGUGUUAAUUUCAUUAAGAAACUAAAAAUACACAAAAUUUUAGUUUCCUUCAGUUAGACUUUAUGGGACCUUUUUCUGUGUAUAUUUGGGGCUUAAUGAUAUAGAUUAAAAUUAAAACAUUUUCUAUUGUAAUUAGUUUGAGGUUCAAACCUAGUUUGACUGGACUUAUAAACUCUUUAUUGAGUUAUUGUCCUGCAAUGGUACACAAUGUAUUUACCAUUGUUUUUAUGCCCCACCUAAGAUAGUAGAGGGGCAUUAUGUUUUCUGGUCUGUGCCUCCGUUUGUUCCUUCAUUCGUCCUUCCGUGUGUCAGUUUGCUUCAGGUUAAAGUUUUUGGUCAAGGUAGUUUUUGAAGAAGUUUAAGUCCAAUCAACAUGAAACUUAGUACACAUGUUCCCCAUGAUAUGAUCUUUCUAAUUUUAAUGCCAAAUUUAGUUUCGACCCCAAUUUCAUGGUCCACUGAACAUAAUAAAUGAUAGUGCGAAGUUCAGGUUAAAGUUUUUGGUCAAGGUAGUUUUUGAUGAAGUUAAAGUUACAUCAACUUGAAACUUAGUACACAUGUUCCCUAUGAUAUGAUCUUUCUAAUUUUAAUUCCAAAUUAAAGUUUUGACCCCAAUUUCACGAUAAUGCGAGUGGGGCAUCCGUGUACUAUGGACACAUUCUUGUUGUCGAGCCUGCAACUUUUGUUGCAGAAAGCUCGACAUAGGGAUAGUGAUCCGGCGGCAGCGGCGUUAGCUCACUUCUUUAAAGCUUUAUAUUUUAGAAGGUGGAAGACCUGGAUGCUUCAUACUUUGUAUAUAGAUGCUUCAUGUUACAAAGUUUCCGUCAGUCACAUGUCCAAUGUCCUUGACCUCAUUUUCAUGGUUCAGUUGACCACUUGAAAAAAAAAGUUCAAAUUUUUUGUAAUUAUUGAAUUCUCUCUUAUUUAUAAGUAAUAGGAUAACUAUAUUUGAUAUGUGCGUACCUUGCAAGGUCCUCAUGUCUGUUCAGACAGUUUCACUUGACCUCGACCUCAUUUCAUGGAUCAGUGAACAAGGUUAAGUUUUUUGUGUCAAGUCCAUAUCUCAGAUACUAUAAGCAAUAGGGCUAGUAUAUUCCGUGUAUGGAAGGACUGUAAGGUGUACAUGUCCAACUGGCAGGUGUCAUCUGAAAUUGACCUCAUUUUCAUGGUUCAGUGGUUAUAGUUAAAUUUUUGUGUUUUGGUCUGUUUUUCUCAUACUAUAUGCAAUAGUUAUACUAUAUUUGUUGUAUGGAAUGAUUGUAAGGUAUACAUAUCUAGCGGGCAGAUGUCAUGUGACCUUGACCUCAUUUUCAUGGUUCAGUGGUCAAAGUUAAGUUUUUGAAUUUUGAUCUUUUUAUCUAAUACUAUAUGCCAUAGGUCAACUAUAUUUGGUGUAUGGAAAUAUUUUAUGAUCUUUAUGUCAGUCGCGCAGGUUUUAUUUGACUGUGACCUCAUUUUCACGGUUCAUUGCACAGUGUUAAGUUUUUGUGUUUUGGUCUAUUUUUCUUAAACUAUAAGUGAUGGGUCAACUAUAUAUGUUUUCAAGGUUCAUUGGUCUUUGUUUAGUUAUCUUGGUUAAUGUUAAGUUUAUGUGACAGUUGUUAUAAAGCUUAGCUUUAUACUUAGGACUAUCAACAUAAUAUCAAUGAUUAGUAUAGAAGGCGAGACAUUUCAGCGUGUGCACUCUUGUUUUACAUAUUUUGCAAAUUAAAAUUUUUAUGCCUCUCUUUUCCUGGAAAUGUGUGUAUGGCUUAUACAUCACCAGGAUUUACUUCUACCUUAAAUUCUUUAUUUUUACAUUUUAUGGAUCUCAUGCCUACAUUUCUUGUAUUAGGAUAUUUAUUAAAAAAGUUGUUUAUUUUUUUUUUAUUUUAGUUAAUGCUCUUGGUACAUAAAAUAUAUGCAAAUAGGGAGCCAUUGAAACUUUGUUCUUUAACUUUUCUCAUUUUUUCGAUAGGUUAUUUUACGCCAAACCUAUACAGAAAUUUCCGCCUGUGGAAGAAGAACUGAUUUGAUGAAAUACUUUGGAUACAUUGCAGGGUAAGAGUAAACAAUGCAGAAAAAAAUAUUUAAUCUGUAUAUUAAACAUAUUGUAAUUUAAUGAAUAAAUGUGCUACAAUGAAUCAAAAGAGUUGCGGGGUGUAAUUCAAUGAGACAGCAACUAAACAACAGAAGAAAAGAACAUCCACAGGUUAAUGUCUUCAACAAUAGACAGGUGUCUAUGCAGUAUGGCAAGCUGUAAUUCACCUAGAUUUUUAAAUGUGUUAGAUAUAUUUAAGAAAGAUUUGAUUUUCCAUCAGUACCAAAUUCAACAAAAAACAUUAAUAUUCUGUAAAUUUAGAAAUUAUUGUGUGCACUUAUUAUAUCGUACCCAACCACGUCACAUUGAUAAAUGCCUGGCAAUAACUUCUAAAUUUAUAGUUUAACAAAAGACAAUCACUGAUAGAUUCCUGCCUUUUGAACAGGCACAUAAAUAAAUGGUAUGUUUUUCUUAAUCCAACCAUCCAAGAUUUUCAUCUUGAUCAGUGGAAUAACAAAAGGUAAAUAAAAUCAUCACACAAGAAAAGUAAUGUAUUAUAGAUAAACUAAAGACUCAAAGAACCAAGCAAAUUAUUUCACUUAUCUGUUGCCCGCCCUGAAUUAAUCUGUCAUAUUUUGCCUUUUUCUCUUGUGUCUGGUGAAGUUGUGUAAUGAUAGGUUGAAUGUUGAACUAUAUUACAGUGACUUGACUGUAAGUGUUGCUAUCCACCAAUUGCAACUUAUUCAAAAUUCUGACCAAAUUGCAAUUUGUUUUAUAAAAUCAAAUUGUUCAACUGGUCAGAAAUUUGAACUAACUGCUGUAGAAAACCACACUCAAGUAGUGAAAGUGCAAGGUGAUAAAAUAAAACAUACUUACAAUCCUAUAAGACUUUAACUCCACUUUAAUGAUGUUGUGACAUAAACAGUUUAUCAGUUUGUAUAGGUAUAUUAUAGUCAUUUCUAUGCUGAAGGAACUGUUAUUAUUUUGAAUUGCUAUAAAAAUGUCCAAACUAAGCUUUCAUAUAGUUUUUCUUUCUAAAAGUAUUCUAUAUUCAUAAGAAUCAGACAUUAUGUGAAUUAAAACAUUUCAUAUUCAGUAAAAUAUGUGUAAAAUUGCAAUAUGUUUGUAGGAAGUGUCCAUGGGGAGAUAAUCAUUUCUUCUUUCAAAAAGUCUUUAUUCAAAAGAAUAAUAUUUUAGGUUAUCUCCCCAUGGAAACUUAUCAAGAGCAUAUUGUUAUUUCACACAAAUUUUACUGAAUAUAUGAUGUUUUAUUUAAAAUGAUAUCUUAUUCUUAUGAAUAUAGAAUACUUUUAGAAAGAAAAACUAUAUGAAAGCUUAGUUUGGACAUUUUUAUAGCAAUUCAAAAUAAUGACAGUUCCUUCACCAUGGAAAUUACUAUAAUAUACCUAUACAAACUGAUAGACUAAUUUUACUUCCAUUUGUUGUAUUUUGUCACAACAUCAUUAAAGUGGAGUUAAAGUCUUAUAGGAUUGUAAGUAUGUUUUAUUUUAUCACCUUGCACUUUCACAUUUUGGCUGAAUAAUUUGUUCAAUAUUUUGACCAGUUGAACAAUUUGGUUUAAUAAAACAAAUUGCAAUUUGGUCAAAAUUUUGAAUGAGUUGCAAUUGCUGAAUAGCAACACUAACAGUCAAGUCACUAUAAACAUAUGAAAAUGUGUGUCUGUAUAGACAUAAAAUUGAGAAUGGAAACAGUUAACUGACAUGCCAGCUCCAGACUUCAAUUAAACUGAUUGAAAGAUUAUGUCUUCAUCAUAUAAACAUCAGGCACAAUCCUUCCCGUUAGGGGUCUAGUAUCAUACCAUCAUAACAUUUAUGAGAAGAACAUAACCCGUGUCAUGCCAACAACUGGUUUUUAAAUAAAUGUGUUUAGUUCCGAUGCAAAGACCCUAUAAGUGAAUCAAUAUUAACGCCAAAAUAUGCAAUCUUUAAUGACCUGACAACAGUAUUGUAACUAUAUCCCUUCUUAAUAAGUCUAUUUAAAGGUUUUGUUAGCUUCUGAGGUGAAUACUGACAUUUUUGUGCUUUAUAAAGAAUAAUUCCAUAAAAAAUUGGAUGUGAAAUACUUGAACGUAUAAGAAGUCUGCAUGUUGAGCUAUAUUUACAAAUGAUGUCCUUAUACCGAUGAUAAAAUUUAGCAAAUGUUUUUGACUAGUUUGUGAUAUCGAAAACCCUGGUGUAAUAAUUUUUCAGUAAUACACAAAUUUAUCUCGUUAAAAUCUAAAACAUUGUCACAUACACAACACAACACUAAUUAAUUAUUUUAUAAUGUUUUCAGAGAGACAACAUGCAGUUUAGCUCGUAACUUUCUGUGUCAUGUGUUCGAAGCAAGAACUGAAGAUCAGGUAUUAUAAAGUCAACAGAUUUAAUUCAUAAUAAUCAUCCUUAAAGUUUAAAUGUAACUUCACACCAGAAAUUGGAAAAAAUAAAUAUCUAAUAUCUAGUAUUAGGACACUUUUCUAGGUGCUACCAUUAUCUUUGUAAAAUGGUCUUUUGAAUUAAACCCUUCAAACACUAGAUUGUGGUAACCUUUUAUAUUUUUAACAAUAUAUCUGUUAUAAUAGUUUCAAUAAUAUUUUAUGAAGGUACAAGAAACCUAUUCUUAAAUUUCAUCAAAAACUCAAACUGGUUUCUUGUACCUUCAUAAAGUGUUAUUGUUACUGUGUACCAUAAUCAUCUUUGACAUCAUCAAUCUUUGCUUCUUCCUUUUCAUUUCUUUUUAAUUUAUAGCUCCUAAAUUUUCCAAAAAUGUUUUCUCUUAAUGCAAGCUCAUAGUAUAUUUAUUGUAUAUAUUCAUAUUGUAUUUUGAAAAAGACCUCAUAAGUAUGAUUUACCUGUGACAUUCAUUUUGCAAUAAUUUAUCCCAAAAAUAUAUGUUUAUAUUUGUUAUGAUAGUUCUAAAAGAUUUUUUUUGGUUCCAGGCCAAAUUGAUUCUAUGCACAUUAGGUAUGUAUUAAGUAGACUAGGCUAUGCUGUUCUUAUCAAUUUAAAUUGUUAUCAGUCUCUGCAAAUUGAUAUUUUUUAUUGUUAGAUACUAUGACAAGAAAAACGGUGUAUUUUACUUAGUUAGUUCUUCCUUUAAUCAUGGUAGCAUAAGAGUCAUUUCACAUACCAUAAUUGAUUUGUCUGAAACUGAUUAGAUUCUCUGUCAAUUGAUCUAAUGUAUGCUGUUUAAAUCUUUUAAAAUUAUGAUAUUCUACAGUGUUUUGCUUAAUUUUCCAUUUAGCAGAAACAUUAUAAAGUGAAAAUUUAACCUGCCAAUUUAAUCAUUUAAUCAUGAAUAGAACAAAAAUGAAAAAAACAAUCAAUGUACUAUUCAAGUUUUGUUUGAGUAUGGGAAUAACAAGUUUGAAUAUAAACCUUGGGUUUUAAGAUUUCUUUGGUAAUUUCUGUUUGUUUGUUAUUGAAAUAGGUAAACCUUUGAUAUGAUAAAAAUUUCAAAUUACAAUUUGAAAGAAAUUGUUAUGCAAAUUUAGUGACCUACUAGCAUAAAAACUUAUUUAUAACAAUUGAUUUUCUCUACUAAAAAAUUCCUAGCUUUAGAAAGAAGGAUGCAAUGCAACAAUUUCCAAUAGUUCUAAGUUUUAAAUGUUUUAUGCUUACUUGUUGUUUAUAAGAAUAUAUUCAAACAAUUUUCAAAAUCCAAAUGCAAAUGCAUGAUAAGUAUUUCUAGUCAUUUCUUCUUUGUGAUUUCUAUAGAUACUUUCAUUGAUAUGUCAUCUAAUCAAAGAGUGGUCUAACUUAUGGAUGUAAGAAACAAGGUACAAAUAGAUAUGUCAUGGCUUACACCUUUAUUAGCUUGGUUUGUCUUUUCCUGUCUAGAGUUGAACAUGGUAAACUACUGUCACCUUAAUUUACACCCUUCCAAAGUCUUUAAAUUACUCCUAGUAGCCACUAAUUUCCUGGGUAUAAAUAAAAAAAAUUUUCUAAUAUAGGAUUUCGCUAUAUUUUUUUAUAAAUGAACUUUAUCAUAUACUUAAAUGAAAAAUGAAAUAAAAAAAUGGGGUCACCAUUAAAUUAAGCCCACAAUCUGCCGCCGGAAGAAGCAUACAUUUCUGUUAAUGUCUUUUUUUUUCUGUUGAGCUAAUUGGAGAAAUAGAGGUAAUAUUGAAAUAAAAAAAUAACCUAAUUACAGAAAUCGCUUAAAUUUUACAAUUAUUUAGUUUAUGUACAGCUUAUUUGAAAACAAUAAUAAAAAAUAUAGGUCACCGAUGAGUUAAAAAAGAUAUUUCAAAUUUAAUGCCAAAAAAUAGCAUUUUUGCACCAAAGGGAGAUAAUUUGGAGCUUUUUCAAUGAUAUAAACAUUUUAAAAGUCAUCUGGGGCCAAACAGAAUCGUUUUUUUAGGUUGAUUUUUGUACCAUGUAAUAAAGUAAUAACUAAUAGUGUAAUAAAUAAAAUUUGUAAUGAAAAAAUAAAGGUUUAAUUUUUUGCUGAAAUUUUUGUACCCACGAGCCACCUUAAUAUCAAUUAUUGUGGAAAUUGUGUGAAAUGGGGAACAGCGAAUUUAAAUGAUCUUAAGAAUUACUAAAUUAUUCUGGGAUUUUAUGCUGACAUUGUUAAAACCAUCAAAUUAAAUAUUCUUUGAAAAUGGAAGUUUUUGUCAAGCAAAGAAAAUUUGUACCCCCAAAAAUAAAUUAAUCCACAGAAUUUUGUGAUUGUAUGAGAAUUUUUUUCUUAUUUUUAACAUAAGAACUCUUAAUCAAACUAUGUGCAGCUAACACCAAAGUUUUCAAUCUAUUUUUAUCAAACUUUACUGAAACAUUAUGCACAUUGAAGUUGUGCACCUGCUACUACGGAUUUUUUUUCACCCCAAUUUUUGUACACUUUUAUGACCACCUACUAUAACAUUAUAUUUUCCAAUUUAGUGUCUGUCAAUCCAUCUGUUGAUCUGUCUGUUCUUCCUGAAGUCCAUCUGUUUUCUGGAACCAUAAAAGGUUAAAGUUUUUGGUUUUAUGUUGUUUACCUAGAAGUUGUGGUACUAUCUUAUAAGAGUGCACAUAUUUUUCCCAAAAUAUGCCAAAUUAAAAUAAACCUUGACUUUGGGGAUUGCUGAACAUGGAAAUAUGUCUAAUUAAUUUUGACUUCACAGUUUACUAGACAUGUGAAUGCAGUAAAAAGACAGCAACUAUUUAUGGAAUCAGCUAAGCCUGGACAAUAUAUUUUUUGCUUAAAAUAUAACUUUCAAUGUAAAAGCAUUGAUUUACAUUAACUGUCCUUGACAAGAUCCUUGCUUUCCUGCAUGCUGUAAACUCCAAAGAUACUGAUACAAAUCUCCUAAACAUGGAAAAGAUCCAAGAAAUGUUCCCUUCCCCAAUCCAACAGCAUGUUAUUUUUUCAGAGAGUGGGGAAAGUUUAAAGUACUGAGGUUACACAUGGCUGAUUUUAUAAUAGGAAAUAUAUAAUAAAUUUACACAAUCACUUGAUCUUGUUUCAUUGGUGGAAAUUAAAACUUUGAUCAUGUAUUCUGAAUUUUCUUUACACAUUGUUAUUAUAAAAACCCUUUUGCUGCAUCUUUAUUUGCAAAGACUGAUUUCCAAUAUUUUUUAAGAAACUUAAUAAUUUUAAAGGUAAAUUUCAAAGAAAAGCAGAAUGUCUUGGUGACAAUUUUUUUUAUAAGAUUUUGCAUACAACUGGGAACAAGAGUAAAAUGCAUUUUAUGUCAAAAUUGUUGCAAAUGAGACAAAUAAAAAAAAAUACUAUCCAACAGGGUCUAAUUGACUAAAAUAUAUAUGUCAUGUUUUGUAAAGGACUUCAAAAGUGAUGUCAUAUGCUCUGAUAGGAACAUAUGUAACUUCAACAUGAAUGAAUUCUAAUUCAAUGUGUACGUAAGGUAGUUUCUGGUCUUCCUACAUCUUGGAUUUAGAAGUAGCAGAUAACAGUUGGUCUUGAUCUUUUGAUUAAAUUAAAUGGGCAAAUUUUGAGAGUAGUAUGUAAUUCAUGUGUAAGAUUUAUGAUAAAAUGAUAGAAAAUUAUGUGUUUUAUCAUAUUUACUGAUGUAAUUUCUAAAAUCACCAUAUUUGUGUUUGAUUCAUUUUUUUCAAACUUUGCUAAAUAAGGGGAGAUAAAUCAGAUAUAGUGGUUUUUUAAAAGAAAUUGUUGUGAAUUUACCUAAUUUAUAUAUAUUGCAAGAAAACAAGUUCUGUUACCCCAUUUUUUUCUUUUUUGUAUCUGAAAGCAUGUUUUAAGAGUUAUCUUCUCAUGUUUUAUCUUAAAAUUCUAUCAUGUAGUUUUCUUUGGAAAUUGGAAAUUUGAUUUUCCAUCCGUAAUCUAUACAAAAUCUAACAAUUUUGCACAUCCUGUAGCAUGAUAAAAAGUUGGGUGACCCAUACUUUUUAUUAUAUUUUUUGAAAAAAGCAUAAUGAAAAACUUCAUUUUGACAAAUUAUUAAAAAAAUCUAUGGAUUUUAAUUAAGGCGCCCGCCCCAGCCAUCUUAAUCAUUUAAAAAUAAGUUUUGGAACGCUUUGAUGAUGGGAGUUUUAACAAUCUUGACUGGCUAUAUGGCUAUAAAUAUACUGUCUGUGGACGGCUUUGAAGAGUUGUCAUCCUCAUAUUUCGAUGUGACAGUCUCAAAUGAAGUAUUACUGGUGAAUCAAAGCAAUACUGUUAUUCUUAUUUCAAUUCAAGACUGUAAAUUCAGAAAUUAUUGCGUGCAUUUAUUAUUGUGAUUUUGUCAUUUUAGACUAAAAUGCGAUUUAUGUUUUUGCAAUAUUGAGAAAAAUCCUGUUAAAUUCAUAUAAAAAAAUUCAUAAUGCAAGUUUAAAUUAUUGCGAUUGUAACCCUGUCGCAUUAUUUGCAAUAAAAAUAAUUUCCCAAUAAUUUCCCAAUUUACAGUACUUGUUAAAUGGUCAACUGUAAUACUGAAAGAUUACAGAAACAUCAACUUCAAUUGCACAACAUUUUUUCCAAUUACUCCCAUCAUCAAUUGUGGGAAUAUAGGGUAGACAUUAUACAUAUUGGUGUAUCAUGUUAUAAUGUACUAGAAUUUUGCAUAAAAAUGUUUGCUCACAUCAAAAUAUAUCUCUUACUGUAUAAUGACUCUUUAGUGUUUUUUUUUUUUUACAGCUCAAGGAUUUGAAAGAACCCACCUGUUGUUGUGACAACAGUAGUAUAUACUUUUAGAAGAACAACCUAGCUGGCAGUAGUGUGAUGUUGAAAGACAAUACAUACAUUUUAUGUACCUGCCACCAUUUUACCUGAUGUUGUAGUCAGUGCAAUAUCUGCCAACAUUUAACUUGGUGCAAAUGUGUCCCAUCCAUACACAUUUUUUUCCCAUUUGCAUAAGGUAAAGAAAUGAAUCAAAACUAACUGUUAGUUAAAUUUUACUUGGCUGGCCAAAUUAGCAUGUACAAAAAAAGAAUUUACAAAAAUACUAAACUCCAAGGUCAGUUCAAAGUCACAUAAACAGAUUAUGAGUAGCCUGAUGGCUAAGAAGAAUUGAAACAACUUUACGGAUAAUUUGUAAAUCUUUUAUAAGAUGUAAAAGAAUAAAUUACACUUAUCUGGUAAAAAAUGGAAGUCUGAUAGAAAGUAAUUGAGCUUUGUAAAAUCAUUUAAACCAAAAAAUAUAUUCUUUUGAGAUAAAUCUUGAACUGAAACUAACACUCAAUUAUAUUUUUGUAUACAAUUGAAGUGUUUGGAGAGAAAGAUUUUUUUUUAUUAAUUUGAAAUUAGAUUUCAGAGAGACUCAGAUCAUAUAAAUAGAAAUGACUUUAUAAUCAUUUAAGUUAUACUUAUUGUACAAAUAGUAAUACAGUUCUAUACAGGUGUUGGCAGGUAUUUCAUAUAAGAUUUAGGAUGGUUUUGUUUUAGUAUGGAAGGAACAUAUAGUACUGUUAAAGUGUGUAACAUUUUAUAUUUAACCUGGUUGUGAAUCAGUUUUAUUACAUUCCAUUUUUUAACUAGAACAAAUAUUGUGUCAAAGAAUUGAAUGGGAUUUUUAGUAAUUAUUUUAAUGAAUAGAUAUGCAAACUGUUUUUGUUUUUUUUCUGUUUCAUGAAAACAUAUGUUGUUUGAGGUAAAGCAAGUGCAAUCAAAUACAUAAAGUCACUGGCUGGCUAGCUAGCUUUCAGUUCUCUUCUCUACAUUUUUGUGAGUACAAACAUUAAGUGCAGUGAGAGUUACAUUCUUUAUAUCCUAUUCUUGUUAUGAGCAUGGAGGUGUUAUAAUUACUGAGUCUUAUUACAUAGUUACAUAGUAUUAUUUCAUGAUGAAUUCAAGAAAUUGAAAUCCAUAUUUAUUUAUUUAUAUUUACAAACAUGUUUUCAUCUUAUCAACCAAACCAUAAAUCAGAUUUACAAACAAGCAAUUAUGAUCACUUCUAACAUCAUGGUUUGAUUGCUAUGAAUAUAUUGAUCAAGUUAUCUGUUUUAUGUAUGUAAUUUUUUUUUAAUAGGUAUCUAUAUAUUCUAUUGGGGUAUUUGGGUUUUUUCUUUCUCAUUUCCUUUCAAUAUUAUGUUAUUGUAUUAUAUUUCUGAAUGAUUAUAUUGAAUUAUUCUUGUUUUAUUGUCAUCACUUGUCUUCUGAAAACCUUUUUCCCUUUCAAAAAGAAUUUGAAUAUUCUGAACCAAGUUUAACCAAUUAAUCACCCUUUGGGCAUUAUGAAUAUCAUUAUCAAUACACUACUUUAAACUUCAUUUCUCUAAAUAAAAUACUGUAAAACUUCAUACAUAUGAAUUACAAUGGUACAUGUAAUGGGAUAUUGCAUUUUCGUUAAGAUAGUGUGUGACUAACCCCUCCAACUAGUCUUACUUUAUUUACCAAUUAGUUAAUUAUAACUCAUUCUAGUCUAACCGCAGUAACUGACAAGUUAAUAUUAAUUCCUUCUACUAUUCUUAUUGCAGUAAAACAAGAUAAUUUUAACUCCUUCUACUAGUCUUACUGUAGAAAAUAAAGCUUUUAUAUUAACCCCUUCUACUAGUCUUUGAUUUAGUAAGUAGCAAGUUAAUAUUAACUCCUUCUAGUCUUACUGUAGUAACUGACAAGUUAAUAUUAACCCCUUCUACUAGUCUUACUGUAGUAAAACAAGAUAAUUUUAACUCCUUCUACUUGUCUUGCUGUAGAAACUAAAGCGUUAAUAUUAACCCCUUCUACAGGUCCCUACUGUAGUUACCAUUUAGGUAAUAUUAACUACUCCCAGUAGUCUUACCUUAGUAGGAAGUUAAUAGUAAACCCUCACACUAGUUCUACCGUAGUAACAAACAAGGUAAUAUAAACAGUACACAAAUACUGAACUCUAAGGAAAGUCUCUAAUCAAAUGGUAAAAUCAAAAGGUCAAACACAUGAAUUGAAUGGACAACAACUGUCAUAUUCCUGACUUGGUGCAGGCAUUCCCACUAUUCUCACUUCAAUAGGAAUGAAAUAUUAAACCCUCCUACUAGUGUUACUGUAGUUACUAAUAAAGUUGACAUUUGGUUUAAAAGAACUGAGCUGGGAAUUAGUUCCACUAGUAAUCUCCUUUUAAAACACGAUGGAUGAUUAUAUAUAUACUAAAGUAAAGAUAAAAAAGAAGAUGUGGUAUGAUUGCCAAUGAGACAACUGUCCAUAAGAGACCAAAAUGGCACAGACAUUAACAACUAUAGGUCACCGUACAGCCUACAACAAUGAGCAAAGCCCAUACCGCACAGUCAGCUAUAAAAGGCCCAGACAUGACAAUGUAAAACAAUUCAAAUGAGAAGACUAACAGCCUUAUUGUAUAAAAAAUGUACGAAAAACAAAUCUGUAACACAUAAACAAACG